ACUUUGUGCCAGGAUGGUAUUGUUAUAUCUAUUGUGUGCCAGUCUGGUAUUGUUAUAAAUAUUGUGUGGCAGGCUGGUAUUGUUACAAAUACUGUGUGCCAGGCUGGUUUUGUUAUAUCUAUUGUGUGCCAGUCUGGUAUUGUUAUAAAUGCUGUGUGCCAGGAUGGCAUUGUUAUAAAUAUUGUGUGGCAGGCUGGUAUUGUUAUAAAUACUGUGUGCCAGGCUGGUUUUGUUAUAUCUAUUGUGUGCCAGGCUGGUAUUGUUAUACCGUUUGCCAGGCUGGUAUUGUUAGAAAUUCUGUGUGCCAGGCUGGUAUUGUUAUAAAUACUGGGGGCAGGCUGGUAUUGUUUUAUCUAUUGUGUGCCAGGAUGGUAUUGUUAUAUUUAUUGUGUGCCAGGCUGAUGUUGUUAUAAAUACUGUGUGCCAGGCUGGUAUUGUUAUAAAUAUUGUGUGGCAGGCUGGUAUUGUUAUAAAUACUGUGUGCCAGUCUGGUAUUGUUAUAAAUAUUGUGUGGCAGGAUGGUAUUGUUAUAAAUACUGUGUGCCAGGAUGGUGUUGUUAUAUCUAUUGUGUGCCAGUCUGGUAUUGUUAUAAAUACUGUGUGCCAGGCUGGUAUUGUUAUAUCUAUUGUGUGCCAGGCUGGUAUUGUUAUAAAUGCUGUGUGCCAGG